rnacentral:rRNA from 1 species
CCUACGGGCGGCUGCAGUAGGGAAUAUUGGACAAUGGAGGAAACUCUGAUCCAGCCAUGCCGCGUGAUAGAUGAAGGCCCUCUGGGUUGUAAAUAUCUUUUAUCUGGGAAGAAACAAUCUUAUUCUUAAGAUCUUGACGGUACCAGAGGAAUAAGCACCGGCUAACUCCGUGCCAGCAGCCGCGGUAAUACGGAGGGUGCAGGCGUUAUCCGGAUUCACUGGGUUGAAAGGGUGCUGAGACGGGAGUGUAGAAAGCUCCGAGCUUAACGUGGGAACUGCCAUUGAUACUGGCAGUCUUGAAUGUGGUAGAGGUAAGCGGAAUGUUGCAUGUAGCGGUGAAAUGCUUAGAUAUGUUACAGAACACCGAUUGCGAAGGCAGCUUACUAUGCGAUGAUUGACGCUGAGGCACGAAAGCGUGGGGAGCAAACAGGAUUAGAUACCCGAGUAGUC